UACAGAGGUCUCAAGCGUUUGUUCGGAUUCAUUGGGCGUAAAGGGUGCGUAGGUGGCGUGGUAAGUCGGGUGUGAAAUCUCGGAGCUUAACUCCGAAACUGCAUUCGAUACUGCCGUGCUUGAGGACUGGAGAGGAGACUGGAAUUUACGGUGUAGCGGUGAAAUGCGUAGAUAUCGUAAGGAAGACCAGUGGCGAAGGCGGGUCUCUGGACAGUUCCUGACGCUGAGGCACGAAGGCCAGGGGAGCAAACGGG
rnacentral:rRNA from 1 species